UCCAUGUCCUUAUUUUAUUUUUAUCAUACUCAUUUUAGAAGUUGGAAUUUUUAUUUGAUUCAAUUGAUUUAAAUUAUUUUAAAACGAUUAAAUCAUAUAAAAAAAUUUUCCAUGUCCUUAUUUUAUUUUUAUCAUACUCAUUUUAGAAGUUGGAAUUUUUAUUUGAUUCAAUUGAUUUAAAUUAUUUUAAAACGAUUAAAUCAUAUAAAAAGGGCAUUAUAGG
rnacentral:lncRNA from 1 species